GAACACGGAGGAUAAGUGCGAGAAUGCCGCAAAACAGUGAAAUGGACGCUGUAAGGAAAACCCUUUGGCUGCAGCAGUAAUUCGAGCAUGACUUGGAGCUGUGAAUCAACCAACAGAAAUGUAUUCGCUGCUCAAAACCUUCGUUCCAAAACCUGCAUGCAGAUUCGCAGGAGGAGUCGUCGAAAGGAUAUCUGGGGUUAAAACUUACCCAUGUCGGUGUGAUAAAUAAAAAUAGCCUAGCUGUGAACAUAAAUUAUGCUGUACAAAAUGUGAUGUGAUAGAAAUAAAACAAAAAAAUAAUUCAAA
rnacentral:lncRNA from 1 species